rnacentral:rRNA from 1 species
GACGAACGCUGGCGGCGUGCUUAACACAUGCAAGUCGAACGGAAAGGCCCUGCUUGUUUGGUGUGCUCGAGUGGCGAACGGGUGAGUAACACGUGAGUAACCUGCCCUUGACUUUGGGAUAACUUCAGGAAACUGGGGCUAAUACCGUAUAGGAUCUCCUGCUCCGUGGUGGGGGUGGGAAAUUUUCGGCGGUUGGGGAUGGACGCGCGGCUUAUCAGCUUGUUGGUGGGGUAGUGGCUUACCAAGGCUUUGACGGGUAGCCGGCCUGAGAGGGUGACCGGCCACAUUGGGACUGAGAUAGGGCGCAGUGUGCAACGGGAGGCAGCAGGGGGGAACCUUGUACAAUGGGAGGAAGUCGGAUGCAGAGGCGUCGCGUGCGGGAUGCCCGCCUUCGGGUUGAAAAAAGCUUUAGCUUGUGACGCCGCGUGAGUGACGGUAAUGGGUAAAGAAGCACCGGCUAACUACGUG